rnacentral:lncRNA from 1 species
CAGUCUGUCGAUAUAAGGUGCGUAUUAAAAAACCGCGGAUAAGGAAUUAUUGAAUCGCAUAUUUUUGUAUCUUGGUUUCCUAUAGCUACAAAAAAUUAUAUUAAUAUAAUGUUCUUAUUUCAGUAUAUAUAUAAUUGGUUUCUUUCCGCAUAUAUAUAUAUAUAUAUAUCCGCUUUUAUAUAACUCAUCUAUUAUAACCGUAUAUAAGCUGGCGUUUAUACAUACGGUAUAAUCGUCGUCUACAAUAAAAAAUUGAAAAAAAAAAACGUCUAGGUCAAUGAAAAAUGCAAGGCUGAGUUUUCAACGAAAAUUCUUUAAAUAUGAUCGCACAGACAAGGGUAAAAUGGAGUAUCGUAAAAAUAUGACAACGUCGCAAUGUAUGCCGUACAAAAGAAAAGGACGAUCAAAGUGACGCGUCAAGAGCUCUCUGCCGACGCGCAAAAUGUAGGGAGGGAGUGACCGCGUUGCAAAUAACAACGCCAAUGGCUUCAGCAGAAAAAUUGGAUUUUCAUUUAUUUUGUGGCAAUAAUCAAAUAAUACCUGUAUAAUUAUUAAAAUAUGUUACGCGUUGUUGACCUCUGCUAAAUUUCAACAAUAAAUAACGACUCUAUGUUGUAUAAGAAGUGGAAAUAAUGUGGAACUACUUUUUAUCGAUCCCGCGUAGUAACACAGUAUUCUUGGAUGACGAGGGGUAUAUAAAGCCCCACCCGGUGGCUCAUGAACGGCAUUCCUCAGAGCUAUCUGAAGCGGUGAAGACUGUAUCUCGCUCAACCGUAGCUUCGUAUAUCCCUCGUUUUAGAGGAUCUACAGUCAAAGGAUUUCUUUAGUUUUUUUUUUUUUUGUAAAUUCAGUUCUCAAAUGAUCAAUUCGUAACUUGCCCGAACACGAAGUGACGGAAAAGUGUGCCUCCACAACGAAAAAAUACGAGCUAGCUACAGUCUCCGCGCCGUUUGACAUGGCAAUGAGGGUCAAUGCGACGGGGGGAGAGAAAGAGAGAGGGAGAAUGAAAGGGAGGGAGUUUGAGAGAUGGGUGGAAUAUCUCGAAGAAUGAACCAGUUUGAGUGACAUCAUGAUCAACUACCGAGAUGUCAACCCGGGCGGCUUACCAUAACUGGGAGUGACAGAAUGAGAGGCGGCUGUGCUGCGCCCCCAGUUCGCUAUCGACGAUCCUACUGUUUGUAUUGGCUUCUCAUCAUCCUAGAAAUUCCUAUUGUGAGAGUGAGAGAAUAUGGGCAUGAAACGUAAUCUUCCGAUGCUGUCUGACCGUCGUCUUCUUAUCUGGCCUGUUGCUGCCGCCUAUAUAAGUCUACAUAAAAUACCGAAAUUGAAAGUUUGAAAAACAAUAUACAAAUGCGACCUCGGUGAGGAAUUUCUUUUUUUGUUCUGAGUUCUGGGAAUACUUGAUUGCGCAACGGGGGGCAAGAGAGGGGAGGAAGGAAAUCUGUGUUUUCUAGAAGUUGGACAAAGCUUGACUCGAGGUUGGUGGCACGUUUGUUGAAGAACUGCGAAAGGGAGAGAGAGAGGGAGAGAGGGAGGGACAGACAAAAACGAAAAAAUAUAGGUUCGACGCGACGAAUUCUAACGCUGUUUCAACCGCACCCGAGCACGAAUAAACAAAGAAACGGUUAUUUGUCCUUCGCACCCACACGUUCUUCUUCAUCAUCGCACUAUACCAUGAUCGAACCGAGACGAACAAUAGAAAAAACCAAAUCAUAGAAGCGUGACAAUCACGCGAUACGGCAAAAACAAAGCUGAUUACAGCUUGGUGAGCUGAUUCCAUGUUAAUUUUGAAAAUUUCCUUUGGCCACGAAUAUCCGCCUCGUGGAAGAAAGUAGUAGUCUUUUCCCAGGUACGAAGACAAUUUGGCUCCUUGGCAUUUCAUCCAAGAAUCAUGGAGAUCUGCUUCGCAAGCCGCGCCUGUCCAAGCCGUUGAGAAAAUUUCGGGCUUUUCUCGCCCGAAUCGUCAUCAACUCAUCGGCAAUUGGGACGCGCACCCGUGGUGGUUCUACAACUGCCGAUAUCCGCCCACACAACCCGUGACAUUCGAUCAUAAACAAAAAAAAUAACAGAUAAUAUGGUUCUCAGGUAUUCAGGAAUUUAUGCAUGAAACGUUUUAUGAAAAGAGUCACGAGAAUGAACAGUCUUUUGACGAAAAAAAUUCAUUAGAAAAUUCUUCAUAUUCGCCACAAAGAAUUUGUGCUAAAUAUUGUACUUAUAUGCGUGGACACGUCUACAUUCAAGUUUAUAACAGGAUCAAUCGUCUUUCGUUUAACCUCUAAGAAAUUUAAAAAAUGAAAAAAAAAAAAAAUCCCUAUGAGGGGACGUCGCAAUAACGAUAUUUUCACAGAUCACGAAAGGGGAUGGUGGCCUGAGUUUGCACGGAGCUAUUUGGCGAUUAUCCGGGUGCCAAGAUAGAUCGAAAAAAAGAGAGAGAGAGAGAGAGAAAAAAACAAGUGUGUUGCGCGUUAGUGGUGUGUUCUAGAUCGAAGGGAGAACCGGCGAAUUUCUCACGUUCAAAAUUCAUCCUGCCAGAGGAUUGUACCGAGCGGCGGUCAGUGCACAGUCGAGCGAAUGAAUUAUAGUACGGAGGAGCACAAUUCGAGCAUAAAACACCGGAUUGGUGGAAACCAGAACAGCACCCCUUGAUGAUCUCUCUUCAGGAUGACGCAAAGUUGGAGACGCAAGACCCAACCGAUCCCGAAUCGUUACGUAAAAGCUUAAUUUAUAUCCCAUUUGACACAGUGGUAACAAUAACAACUUGGAUUUGAAAAAAGAUGGUACCGAACAUGUGGGCUGGGAAAACUGGGAAAACGCUUAUUUUUAGUCGCAGGAAGAACGGCAUUUGUUGUAAAAAACGAAAACAGAGAAGAAGAACGGGAGUAAGGGCGGACUGUGCGCAACAAAGAAUAUAAGGCAAGUCGCAUGAGAGGAUACGCGUCGAUGUGGGUUGAGAACGAUGCGAGUACACUUAGGAGCAAUCUGCGCGUCUGAAACCUCGAAGGUAUAAUUGAGGGUUCAAAAAUGAAUCGGGAGGGGGAAAUCUGGGGUCUUUGUUUUUCAUCGCCGCAGGAAUAAGUCGUACCCGUGGACUGGCGAUCUGUUCGAGCGGGUGUUAAAGAGAGAGGGUAUUUUUAUCGCUGCGUCGGAUGAUACACCUUAGAACCAUGUCCGUGAGCUGAUCAUACAUUUUUCUCGAGCAUACGCACACAUAUCAUUCGGACGAGAAGGUGAUCCGGAAAUCUGACAAGUAACUGAACAAAUUGGGUUGACCGAUAAAUUUUAAUCGCGAUGAGUAUAAAAACACCAACUGCUGACGAUAUAUUAGUGAGAAACAGUAAAAUUUUAUCUUAACAUCUAGCAACUAAGUAAAUUUCUGGGCCUCUGCAUGUCGUCUUGUUUAUGAUUCUUUUUUUUUUUGUCAUUUUCAUCUGUUGAAGUAUCGUCUGCAAUAAUCCAUCGUUGAAAUAUCUCCUAACCAUGGUGUCAUGUUAUUUGAUUGUUGACGAUGUAUUGGGGCGGGAAUUUCAACGUCGGGCAACGAAAACAAAUUUUGUUUUUUGAGCCACAGGAUCUGCGAUGCGAGCGCAUACGCGUUAAUGGCUCUGGCGCCUUAGGGCACAGACGGUGGAUAGAGAACUCCGAGCCGGAAAUGACGAAAAAUCGAGGGUAGGCGGGAGAGAGAGAGAGAGAGAGAGAGAAUAUCCCAAAAAAAUCACCAAUACGUGAGAACCAUACACGAACAUUUUCAUAUUAAUCAUUCUACAAGGAAUAUACGAGAAAAAUUACAAUUUAUGGUCGAUAUUUUGGUCACGUGCAAACAUUUUUUUUUCAUCUUAUGGCUCGAAGAUGCUUGUUACAUUAUUCUCCGAUGUCUUGUGAAAUUUAUUUCUCAGAUAUUGCGUGGCCAUUAUUAACUUUUCGAUGAGAAAUUUGUUGAUCCGAGAAAGCAAACGAGGUAACACUCUACUGAACUUUUCUUUCGUAAACAUAUACAUUUAUCUACUGAUACGAAUAUUGCGAUCGUAGAUAGAGAUAUUCAGAAUUGGCUUUCUAGUAGCGAAUUUCUAACUAUUGUUUGUAUAUUUUUUGUAUUUUAUCAGAACAAUCGUGUAGCAUCGCAUGAGUGUUCCAGUCACCAUGAUUUUAUUCGAGCUUCGUGCUUUGUCGGGGAUGCCCUUCGUUUUUUGUUUAUUUUUAGUAACUUUAAGCGAAGAUUAAUAUGAGAGAUAUAGCAACUGCGAUCGUCAAGUGACGAUCAAGGAAUGAGACAAGUAGAACGAAAAAUUACAGACCAAAGAUAUAACAGGCUGUCUCGAUAAUGGAAGAAUAACGGAAAGAAACACGAGAACUUUGGAACGUAUGAAAUUAUGUCCAAUUCUUUGGCGAAAAUAUGUCGGAUAGAUCUACCGUUUGUCAUCCAGGUAAUCGAAGAAUUUUCGCAAGCGGGUUUUAUGGGGAGGGCAUAUUAAUAAUUUUUUUUUUAGAGAGCACAAAAGAAAAUUCUAGGUUGAUGCUUUGAUGAUGAAUAGAGGCUUGAAAAGAUAAUUUUCAUCGAGUUACGAAAUUUCAAACUAUAUCGGACCCAGAGAAACAAACCGAAUGCAGUGUAUUUUAUUGAUUUACUCGAGCGAAAAGCACGCACGCUUAUUAAAAGUCUGGAAAAUGGAUUAACAGAGGUUUCUGUUGCCUGGAUUAAUAUCGAUUGCCAUUGUUGAGAACGAAACAAUAAUCACACUCCGGGCACCGUUCGCUGAAGAAAAUUCUGCGCGCUCACGUUUUGUUGAAUGAAAAAAAAACAAUACGAAUCGUCCGCACCAAAGAGAUUCCAGUUCAGUUUGACACCGCAUUCGUCACAACCGACGACCGUUCUUUUUUUCAUCAUAAAAGUAUUUAUGAUCCCAAGUGGCCCCACUUUCAGCUCCCUUUUGUUUUACAUUCGGUGUUACAAUAAUUCAACUUCUAUUGUCAAAAGUUGAGGAAUUCAAUUUUUGAUAUGUCAGCAAAUUAGAAAAAAUUGUGAUUGUUCUUUCUAUUUAUGAAUUUGUUAUCGCCAAAAAGUUUGAAGCUUAAAAUAGUGAAAUUGAAAGUUGUGUUGUGCCGCAGUAACUCUAAUAUCUGAUUGUGCAGGUUACAAAAGUUUAAUCAUUGAAUGUGUCAAGUUUUAUCGUCAAAAACAUUCCAAAAACGAAAAUGGUAUAGCCCGUCGCAAAUUAUUAGAUGUUCUCGGCUUUUGAGCAUCCAUGCUCAAACUUACUUUUGAUGAGAAUGAUUACGAGCUUCUGAUGUGAAAUUUCAUUUAAUUUACACGUCUGAAACUAAGCGAUCCCAGAACACGUGGAUGCGUUUAUUAAUUGGUGCGAAUUCCAAUGUUAUCCUCCAAACCAUAAUUCUUGGUGAGGCUGAAACAAGAGAGUGGCUGCGGAACUGGACGAACUAGAAACUUGCGUUACAAGUGGCUUUGUUGCUAGAAGAAUUCGGUGAGUGGUUUUAUUAAAAAACAAACGAAAAAAUGAACUCGCACCUUUCCCGGCAGUCGAAAGUAAUUAACAUAGCAUUGUAAACAUAACUACGAAUUUUACGAUAUCUUGUUAAUACGAGUAGUGUAUCGUAUAUAUUUUGUUCUAGUACGCUGUUCUGUAUUGCGCGUAUAGCCCCAAAUAUUUUGCUUGAAGAAUGUGUCGAUUUAUCAAAAUUUUUUUUUGACAAAAAGGAGAAAAAAAAUAUCGUGUGCGAUGCCCAGUGGGAUUGAAUGGUAUAUGACAAUCAGUCGUUAUUGUCCAAAGUAUUUUGUACUAAUGUACUCGCACAUUUCGUCUGGGUCUCAAUAAAUCAUGUUUUAUGUGGUGGGGUUGGGCUGGGGGCUACUAAUUUUCUUGAUCCGUAUUUUUAAAGGUAUUUCAGAAGAUGAAAAACCGUACUCUGCGAUUCAAUAUUAGUAUCAUUGAAGAAAAGAAAGCUGUCAUCUGGUAAUGCACAUGAGUGCAUUACCACAUGCGCAUGCAUGAAUGUACUUGGCCAUAUCGAGCGACUUCUUUGGCGACAUUGUCGACUUUUGAAAAUGGAGCAUGCUAUGUGGUUUCGUCACCUUUAGAUGCAUCUGUAAUAUUGAGAUCGUUUGGAUUUUUGCGCGGAUACAUCGUGCGGCGAUAAGAUAUAACAGAAAGAAGGCGAGAGAAAACUAUCGACGCGCAUACCGUAAGGUCUUUUGACACGAAGAAAGUUGUUAUCUCUAUGGUGCACCGAUUUUCAUUUAUCUACUCUCGUCACGUAUCUACGUUAUGAAUUCUCUUGUUGACCAUACUCGAAGUAUUACGACGUCUAGCUACCGAAAGGAUUUGCGAGAACGAGACAAACAAAACCAAAUAUUUCACCGUCCCUUAGCCAACAAGGUACGCACUUAAGAUGUUAUAAAUGAUUCCUGUUGGAAGAAUAAUUUGGCUCACAUAUAUGAUAGACAUCAAAUCGUUGCACGAAAUUGGUCCGAUGUUUGUGGCUGAUGGCUGAAAAAUGAGGGAAAAUGAGUUUUGGAAAGUUAUGCAUUGUUUUUCCGGUGCUGGGCAACCAGCAACGAUAUUCGUUUUUUUGGCACUGUUUUAACAUAGAUAUCUCGUAAAUUCCGGAUGGAUACGGACGUCCAAAGACAAGCCAAACCAACGAAGAUCAGAUCGACCGAGUUUGGGAAAACUUUGAAGAAUUUCAAUGUUUGACGAUUUUCUCGGGCGGACUAGAAGACACCCGUAUGUUUUUAAUUCAUUUAAAGGCGAGUCCCCAUAAUUACCUAUGAAGCUAAACAAAAAAGCAACGGGACGCGGCUACAAUGUGAGGCAGCAUCGGAAACGAUAGGCGAUAUGCACGUUUUUUUCCUUCUACGAUUCCAAGUCAAGAGCGAAACGGAGGUGCACUCUCCUUUCUUGAGUAGGGUGGAUAUGAGAAAUUUAUGCGGGUACGUGGAAGAUGGAAAAUCCCUGAUGCCGAUUGACCGAAUACUGCGAAAUCCGUGAGAAAGGCGCACCUGUGCGAUUUACGUGAGUUUACAACCCUUUGCCCUUUUAUUUUUCGAUCCCUCACCUUGUGCCCGUUCUUUAACAAAGUGUUUUAGAAAACUUGCACCGAAACCUUGCACGAUAAGCUGAGAAAUAUUGUUAAGGCUCCAUAUAUCCACUUCGGAGAACACAGUAUUAUUAUCUGUGAAAGAUAACGAGAAAAAGGUUCAACGCUGGCGAUCCAAUAUACCCGAUUGCGGUCUUCUGACGGGUUUUUGGUCUUCUCAUCUUCACUCUUCAGUUCUCUUAGCAUUGGUGGGCGCCGCGAUGAAAGCACAAAAUUCCGAAUGGGACGUUUCCAGCUGCUUCGAAUUUCUUUGAGUUUCAAUGGAUUGGCUGAUUAAACGGUCUUCAAUCCUAAAAAGAAUCCUGUCUCCCAACUUUCUCAGCAGUAAAGAUCUUCCGGAUCGAUUCGGCAGGUGUUGCAGCAAUUGCAAGACUUUUCAGGGCUGAUGAUACCAAUUGAGCGUGAUCCUCGAUACGAAAAACGGAUAUUGUUCAGAGAACGGGUUAUUCAACUGUUCUGCUCUCUUUACGUUCUGCGCGAGAUGACUGCGCUCUUGUCUUUCCUUCCAAGGUUACUUUUCCGAUAAUUGCCGAAGCUUCGACCGUCAUUGCAAAUCAUCUUCCUGAUCGUCGCAUCUUGAUCUUCUUUGUCAUCUCGCGAGUCUGUGGUUUAUGUUGAGCGGCGUCUGUCGUAACGGAUGGUCUGGACCUUCGGCCUGUGUGUUUUGCGGAUUUCGUUGAUUGACAACUAAUGCUGCGUAAAAAACUUCAUUUGACUAGAAGAGACAUCGCCUCACCAAAAUCAAAAGAUUAUUUGUGCGAAACUACUCGGAGAGCUCAAUUUUCUGUUCAUCAUUAUCCUUCCUUCUGCAAAUAAAUAAACGACAAGAAGAAUACCCGGACCUUCCUGUUCCAUUCCGGAUCAAUCUGCUGAAAAAUUCUUUGUCACAAAAAAAACAUCUUUAAAGUACUUCGUACGUCCUGUUUAGAAAAAUACAUAAAAAAAAAUAUAAAAAUGAAGAAAUAUAUACACAAAAAGAUGAAAAAAAACGAAAAAACGAAUAAAAAAAUGUAAAAAAAAAUUGAAUUGAAAAAAAAAACGCUACACGUAUGAAAACAGUAAAACAUGUAUGUUCAAGGGAACAAAAAGUUACUUACAAAAAAAGCAAAAUAAAUGGAUGUGAGGAUUAGGAAAAGAUGUGGAAUGGGCUUUCAGGUACUAGAUACAAGUAAAUCGCCACCAGAAAGGAUCUCCAUGAUGGAAUACUGUCAACAAAAGUUUCGACAGUCGAAGAUUCACUAUACGCAUCUUUAACGAGAUUUUCCGGAUUCGAUUUCAACGACAAGUGAUCUUCUAGAUAGGACAUGGAGAGCUUCUGGGUUCGACUUCAACGACGAGUGAUCUUCUAUGCUGGGCAUCGACAACGAGGGAUCUUCUGAAUGAGGAACAUUAACAGCGCGGGAUCUUCUGGAUUGGACUUCAACGACGAGUGAUCUUCUAGACUGGGCAUCGACGACGAGGGAUCUUCUGAAUGGGGGACAUCAACAGCGCGGUAUCUUGUGGAUUGGACUUCAACGACGAGGGAUCUUUUGAAUGAGGGACAUCAACAGCGCGGGAUCUUCUGGAUUGGACUUAAACGACGAGCGAUCUUCUGAAUGGGGGACAUCAACAGCGCGGGAUCUUCUGGAUUGGACUUCAACGACGAGCGAUCUUUUAGACUGGGCAUCGACGACGAGGGAUCUUCUGGAUUGGACUUCAACGACGAGUGAUCUUCUAGACUGGGCAUCGACGACGAGGGAUCUUCUGAAUGGGGGACAUCAACAGCGCGGUAUCUUGUGGAUUGGACUUCAACGACGAGGGAUCUUUUGAAUGAGGGACAUCAACAGCGCGGGAUCUUCUGGAUUGGACUUAAACGACGAGCGAUCUUCUGAAUGGGGGACAUCAACAGCGCGGGAUCUUCUGGAUUGGACUUCAACGACGAGUGAUCUUCUAUACUGGGCAUCGACGACGAGAGAUCUUCUGAAUGGGGGACAUCAACAGCGCGGGAUCUUGUGGAUUGGACUUCAACGACGAGCGAUCUUCUAGACUGGACAUCGACGACGAGGGUUCUUCUGGACGGGAUACAUCGACCGCAAGGGAUCUUCUCAACUGGGGACAUUGACGGCGAGGGAUUGUCUGGACGGGCGACAUCGACGACGCUGGAUUUUUCGAUGGGGGACAUCGACGCCGCGCAAGAUUUCUUAGAAUUUCUGGUCUAGACAUCGAUGACUCGAGAAUUCCAGAAUCGGAAAUCGACGAUGCGGCUGUUUCAGGAUUGGACAUCAAGGAUCUAAAAACGGACAUAAAGGACUUUAUUAGUUUGAAUACCGGUGAUGGAAACUUCCCGAACGGGCAGCGUUCCGCAAAUCUUAUGGAUUCAAUGACAACUUUGUCCGUUCAAAAUCGACUACAAGGAUAUCUCAGCUUCUCGGAUUAAACAGUUAUAGAACCGAAUUAUUGUUCUCGAUAACGUAUAUCGACACGGAACUUAAUAGGAUAGCUGAUCUGAGACGGACCAUCACCAAACUUUGCGGAAUUUUUUUUUGUUCUGAGGAGAAAGCCAAUGAUGAGGAACAGGACGAUCAUCAUGAGCAUUUCAUGGAUCGUAGAUUGGCCGUAGAUUUUUCCAAAGCUUCGUUCUCGAAUUGAUCUACUGUAAUAUAAAUUCAAAUUCUCUAAUAUGUUAAAAAUCCAUGUCUGCAUUCAUGAUAUUGGAUUGGAGAAAAAAAAAUAGAAAAUGAAAAAAAAAAACAAAGGAAAAAAAUUAAAAUUAAAAAAAAGAAAGAGUGAAAAAAAAAUAAAAUACAUGAAGUGUAACUAAAAUUUGAGAAAUAACGUAGAAUUCAAUCAAAAAAUGGCAUGGCAAAUAAUGGAAAUAAGUGUUAAACGAAAAAAUUGGAAAUUUUACAGAAAAAACUACACUCGAGCAAAAAAUAUGAGCAAAAAGAGAUUUUCUCAGGGGAGGUUUUCAGAUGUGAAGAAAGAAAACUUCGCAAAAAAGAAUUUUAUAUAACGAGUUUUCCAACUAAAAUGACAGUGAACAUGACGUGUGAUGUCAACUCUUCUGGACGACAACGUGGGAUUCAAACUCUGAAAUAUUAACGUGGAAUUUUGGACUCUUGGAUAUCUUUACCAUUGGACGCUAUUUUACUGUAAUCUUCUUAAACAGAAAGCGUUUGAAACUUUAAUAGCAUGAGAAUCUCUAACAUUGGGAAUCAAUUUCCAAUUUUGAUAUCGACGUGACAGCGAAGUGGACGUUAAUUGAACAGAAAAAAACUUGUAUUUUUUACUUUUAAAAUUUGUACGUGACAAAUUGCGACCUCAAAUUGACGACAAUGAAGAAUCUGAAAUUUCCUCCUAAAUCGAACACCAUUACGGGAUUCGGCUGAAAUAAUGGUACUGGAUUAUUCGAUCGGGACUGCGACGAGGGACUCUGACGAGACGGCGGCGUGGGACUCGAACGGGACGGCGGCGAGGGACUCUGACGGGACGGCGGCGAGGGACUCGGACGGGACGGCGGCGAGGGACUCGGACGGGACGGCGGCGAGGGACUCGGACGGGUCGGCGGCGAGGGACUCGGACGGGACGGCGGCGAGGGACUCGGACGGGACGGCGGCGAGGGACUCGGACGGGACGGCGGCGAGGGAUUCGGACGGGACGGCGAUGAGGGACUCGGACGACAACAAAGAAUUUUACAAAUGUUUGAAAAUCUAGCUUUAUCAUGGAAUAGGUAUCAUAUGUACCUAUUCCAAUCAAAUUACUUCGAACCAGCUUGAACUUUUUGCAACCCGUCAAUCAAAUUAUAAGCUGAACUCGACGUGCGUUUGAAAAAAAGUUGGAAAUUAUUUUUUAUUAUUAUUUGAUAGAAUUAUGUAAAUGAAAAUUCGACAAAAAAAAUCAUUCAUAUGAUUAAUAUGUCAAAUUCAUCGACUAUGUAUGACAAAAUAAAUGCACAAUUUUAUAUCUGGGAGCAUGAGAAUGAAUAAAAAUGAUACCAACUAUACAUAAA